rnacentral:rRNA from 1 species
AAGUCCCCUUUCGGGGGGACACGAGUGGCGAACGGGUGCGUAACGCGUAUGCAACCUACCCUUUACAGGGGGAUAGCCCGGGGAAACCCGGAUUAAUACCCCAUAAGAUCCUAGAGUGGCAUCACUUAGGGAUUAAAGAUUCAUCGGUAAAGGAUGGGCAUGCGUGCCAUUAGCUAGUUGGUAGUGUAACGGACUACCAAGGCGACGAUGGCUAGGGGGUCUGAGAGGAUGAUCCCCCACACUGGUACUGAGAUACGGACCAGACUCCUACGGGAGGCAGCAGUAGGGAAUAUUGGUCAAUGGGCGAGAGCCUGAACCAGCCAUGCCGCGUGUAGGAAGACGGCCUUCUGGGUUGUAAACUACUUUUAUACGGGAAGAAAACGCCCAUGCGUGGGUAACUGACGGUACCGUAAGAAUAAGCACCGGCUAACUCCGUGCCAGCAGCCGCGGUAAUACGGAGGGUGCAAGCGUUGUCCGGAUUUAUUGGGUUUAAAGGGUGCGUAGGCGGGUUUUUAAGUCAGUGGUGAAAGCCCACAGCUCAACUGUGGAACUGCCAUUGAUACUGAAGACCUUGAGUAUCGUUGAGGUAGGCGGAAUUUAUGGUGUAGCGGUGAAAUGCAUAGAUACCAUAAAGAACACCGAUAGCGUAGGCAGCUUACUAAACGAUAACUGACGCUGAGGCACGAAAGCAUGGGUAGCGAACAGGAUUAGAUACCCUGGUAGUCCAUGCCGUAAACGAUGAUCACUCGAUGUGUGCGA